CUGGCGGUAGGCUUAACACAUGCAAGUCGUGCGAGAAAAUAUCUUCGGAUAUGAGUAGAGCGGCGAACGGGUGAGUAACGCGUAGGAAUGUACCUAGUAGAAGGGGAUAGCCCGGGGAAACUCGGAUUAAUACCGUAUACCUCCUUUGGGAGAAAGAAGGCCUCUCUUUGAAGCUUUCGCUAUUAGAUCAGCCUGCGUAAGAUUAGCUUGUUGGUGAGGUAAUGGCUCACCAAGGCUACGAUCUUUAGCUGGUCUGAGAGGACGAUCAGCCACAUUGGGACUGAGACACGGCCCAGACUCCUACGGGAGGCAGCA
rnacentral:rRNA from 1 species